GACGAACGCUGGCGGCGUGCUUAACACAUGCAAGUCGAACGGUAAGGCUCUUCGGGGUACACGAGUGGCGAACGGGUGAGUAACACGUGGGUGAUCUGCCCUGCACUUCGGGAUAAGCCUGGGAAACUGGGUCUAAUACCGGAUAGGACCACUGCCUGCAUGGGCGGUGGUGGAAAGCUUUUGCGGUGUGGGAUGGGCCCGCGGCCUAUCAGCUUGUUGGUGGGGUGAUGGCCUACCAAGGCGACGACGGGUAGCCGGCCUGAGAGGGUGACCGGCCACACUGGGACUGAGAUACGGCCCAGACUCCUACGGGAGGCAGCAGUGGGGAAUAUUGCACAAUGGGCGCAAGCCUGAUGCAGCGACGCCGCGUGAGGGAUGACGGCCUUCGGGUUGUAAACCUCUUUCAGCACCGACGAAGCGCAAGUGACGGUAGGUGCAGAAGAAGGACCGGCCAACUACGUGCCAGCCGCCGCGGUAA
rnacentral:rRNA from 1 species